AUGCUUGAAUCAAGGCGCCUUCCUCCUCCUCAUCCUGUGAGAUCUUCAAGCAAUGCAGUGGUCAAGCAUAAUUCCAAGCAUGCAAAGGUGAACAUGAUGAAUGCAGCUCAGGCAGAGGAUUCUUCAGAUGUGAUCAUGGGUAAUCUUCCAGUUAAUGAUAUUCCUGCAAAAGUCUUAUUUGAUACUGGUGCAUCGCAUUGUUUCAUGUCAAGAUCGUUCUUUGCUAAGAAUGAUUUUACUUGGUCUUACCUAGAUAAACCUUUGGGUGUUGUUUCUCCGGGGAAGUCAAUGAGGGCCAACUCGGUAGUUCAUGAUGUCUCUAUCAAGAUGGGCGACUAUAAAUUUCUGUCUUCUCUAGUUGUUCUUGGUGACUCUGAUAUUGAUCUAAUUCUUGGGAUGGACUGGCUUUCUAAGCACAAGGCUCAGCUUGAUUGUGCUGCCAGGCAAAUUCAAUUGACACACUCUUCUGAGGAUGUUAUCAACUAUGCCGCUCGUGAUGAAACCAUUCGGUUGUUUUCUCUCAAUGAGAAGGGCGAAUUGGACGCUAUUUCUCAAAUUCCAGUCGUUUGUGAGUACCAAGAUGUCUUUCCAGAAGAGCUUCCGGGUAUGCCUCCUCAUCGGCCAGUCGAGUUCGUUAUUGAUCUUGAGCCUAGAACUGAACCCGUUUGCAAGCGUCCAUACAAGCUUGGACCCAAGGAGAUGAAGGAAUUGAAGAAGCAGCUCGAUGAACAAGAGCGUCUGGGUUUGAUCAGACCGAGUUCUUCCCCAUGGGGUUGUGGAGUUCUUUUUGUCCAGAAGAAGGAUGGCACGGACCGACUUUGUGUCGAUUAUCGUCCAUUGAACAAGACAAUCAAGAACAAGUACCCACUUCCCAACAUCAAUGAGCUUUUCGAGCAACUCAAAGGUGCUAAAAUCUUCUCCAAGCUUGACCUUCGUAUGGGUUAUCAUCAGAUUCACAUUCGUGAAGAAGAUAUUCCCAAGACAACAUUCAGAACAAGCUAUGGUUCUUAUGAAUAUACUGUCAUGUCUUUCGGCCUUGUCAAUGCUCCUCCAACGUUCUCUCGCAUGAUGAACUUUAUCUUCAACCCCUACACCAAUAAAUUCAUUCUGGUGUAUCUCGAUGAUAUUUUGGUCUUCUCCAAGAAUAAGCAGGAUCAUGCCAAACAUUUGCGAUUGGUGCUCGACAAGCUCAGAGAGCAUCAAUUCUAUGCGAAGUUUUCCAAAUGUGAGUUCUGGCUUGAUGAAGUUCUUUAUCUUGGUCAUAUCAUCUCUGCCAAAGGCAUUGUUGUUAAUCCCGCAAAGGUUUCUGCUGUUCUGAAUUGGGAACCUCCUCAGAAUGUCAAACAGCUCCGCAGUUUUCUUGGUCUUGCAAGAUAUUGCCGAAGAUUCGUUGAGAACUUCUCUAAGAUUGCAAAGCCUCUUUCCAACCUCCUCCAGAAGCAUGUCAAGUAUGUCUGGACGCCCGAGUGCGACAUCGCUUUCAACACCCUCAAAGAGAAGCUAGUCAUAGCUCCUGUUUUGACUCCUCCUGAUGAAUCCAAGCCAUUCGAAGUAUUCUGUGAUGCUUCCCUUCAAGGUCUCGGUGCUGUGUUGAUGCAAGAGAAAAAAGUUGUGGCCUAUACCUCUCGUCAGUUGAAGCCCAACGAGAAGAACUACCCCACUCACGAUCUUGAGUUGGCGGCAGUUGUCCAUGCAUUGAUAACAUGGAGACAUCUCUUAUUGGGAAGGCAAGUGGACAUUUUCACCGAUCACAAGAGCCUCAAGUAUAUCUUCACUCAACCCAACCUUAACCUCAGGCAAACUCGAUGGGUUGAAAUGAUUCAAGAAUACAAUCCGAGUAUCGAAUAUACUCCUGGCAAGGCGAAUGUGAUUGCAGAUGCUCUGAGCAGAAAGGCUUAUUGCAACAGUCUAAUUCUCAAGCCGUUUCAACCGGAUCUUUGUGAGGCUUUCCGCAAGCUGAAUCUUCAAGUUGUUCCUCAAGGCUUUCCUGCCAACCUCAUAGUCUCUCCUACUUUGGAAGAUCAAAUUCGUGAGGCACAACUCCUGGAUACCAUGGUGAAGAAGGUGAAACAUGGUAUUAACAAGGGCAUUCCUAAAUACAAGUGCUAUCGCUUGGAUGACAAAGAUACUCUUUUCUUCGAGGAUCGAAUUGUGGUUCCAAAAGGUGAUCUGAGAAAAGUCAUCAUGAAUGAGGCACACAAUUCCCUCCUAUCCAUUCAUCCUGGAAGUACGAAGAUGUACCAUGACCUCAAGCAGUCAUAUUGGUGGACUCGAAUGAAGCGAGAGAUUGCUCAAUUCGUGAAUGAAUGUGAUGUCUGCAGAAGAGUGAAAGCAGAACACCAAAGACCAGCUGGUCUCCUCCAACCUCUUGCUAUUCCGGAAUGGAAGUUUGACCAUAUCAAGAUGGACUUCGUGACUGGUUUUCCUAAGUCCAAGCGUGGAAAUGAUGCUAUCUUCGUUGUCAUUGACAAGCUUACCAAAGUGGCUCAUUUUCUUCCUAUCAAAGAAUCUAUCACAGCAGCUCAGCUGGCAGAGCUAUACACCUCCAGAAUUGUCUCCUUCACUUCUACAAUUGAUAUCUUCAGAUCGUGGAAGUAUCUUCACUUCUAA
rnacentral:rRNA from 1 species